GUAGCACAAGUCACUUUUCCAGAUAGAUUCGCUCACUUCCAGGAGACAGAUGGAUUGUUUUUAAAUAAAUAAAUAAAUAAUUCAAUGUAGAAAGGCGCCUCGUACAUCGAAAAACAACAGAAAUACAUCUCCAGAAAAUCCAACGGCCUCGAUUCGUUUUCCGUCCGGUUCCCUACGGUUCCCCUUAAGAUCAGAAAAUCACCUUCUUCCCAUUCAUAGAGAAUAAUUCUUUUUUUUUUAUUGGUUCAGGCUAGUUAUUUCCUCAGUGAUAAAUUUGAUUUCAUCAAUAAAUUUGAGCGUAGGUUUUGUGGAGAUUUCGUGGGUGUGUUGUUAUGGGUGCCUCAACUAAUAAAGAGAACAGGUUGCCACGGGAAGCAAAGGAUGCUCUACAAUUGUUGGCUUCUGAUUGGGAUGAUGUGGUGGACUCAAAAGCUUUGCAGGUGAUCCCUCUUAAAGGUGCAAUGACCAAUCAGGUCUUCCAAAUAAAAUGGCCAACUAGGACAGAUGAAGUGUCACGAAAGGUUUUAGUUAGGAUUUAUGGUGAGGGUGUGGAGGUGUUUUUUGACCGGGACAAUGAGAUCCGUACUUUUGAGUUUAUGUCGAAACAUGGGCAAGGACCUCGUUUGCUUGGACGGUUCCCAAAUGGGCGAAUUGAAGAGUUCAUCCGUGCACGGAUACUAUCUGCAUCUGAUUUGCGUGAUCCAAAUGUAUCAGCUCUAAUAGCAGCUAAAUUGAGGGAGUUCCAUGAACUAGACAUGCCUGGUCCAAAGAAAGUUUGGCUAUGGGAUAGAUUGCAAAAUUGGCUAAAUGCGGCCAAGAGAGUCUGCCCUCUGGAAGAAGCUAAAGCCCUUCGCUUGGAAGUUAUUGAGGAGGAAAUCUCAAUGUUAGAAAAGAAACUCUCAGGGUGCCAUCAACACAUAGGUUUCUGCCACAAUGAUUUACAAUAUGGUAACAUUAUGAUCGACGAAGAGACUAAAUCAAUAACCAUUAUUGAUUACGAGUAUGCAAGUUACAAUCCUGUUGCCUAUGAUAUUGCAAACCACUUUUGUGAGAUGGCUGCUGACUAUCAUACAGAAAUGCCCCAUAUUAUGGAUUAUAGUAAAUAUCCAGGUUGGGGAGAGCGCUUAAGAUUUCUGCGUAUAUACCUGCACUCUUCAGGUAAGGAACCCAGAGACACUGAAGUGGACCAGCUGCUUAAAGAUGUCGAGAAGUUUACUCUAGCAAGUCAUCUCACUUGGGGCUUAUGGGGAAUAAUAUCGGAACAUGUGAAUGAAAUUGACUUUGACUACAAGGAGUAUGCCAAGCAGAGGUUUCAGCAGUAUUGGAUGCAGAGGCCUGAGCUGUUGGGCACUUCUUGAGCCCCCACCAUAAAUGUUGGUAAUGGUACAUGGUUCGUUAUCCUUUCUCCUUGGUACGCCGUAGGUGAGCAUAGAAAAACCGAAAGGACAAAGGAACAAGUUGGUCUGUUCAAGCAAAUAUUUAGGCUUGGUCAAGGAAGACAGGCUAGUUUCCAAUAUUUCUCUGUUUCAUUAGAUUGUGGAUACUGAAUCCCGAAACUAAUAAUUUGUAAUUAGGUGAAUCCCAGUGGAGGGAUGAAAUGAUGGCAAAUAAAAACAGUGAGAUAAUCCUUGAAUCAUUCAUUUGUUUUGAGCUAUGUGUAAUAAUACAUCCAAAAGAUCCUGUCAUGGUGCCCAUUUUCAUUUAGUUGGCGAGGCAGUAGUUGAAGUUUUAGCUACUUAGGGUUUGAUAUUUGUUAUAAAUUGAAUUCGUUCUUUUGUUGUUAA